GUUAACCGUACAGAAUCUUCUCAGCGGCCGCUGGGCUGGGCUAGGAUCCUAGCAGGGGCCCAGCCAAAAAAGCAGCAGCAAAAAUAGGCAGAAAUGUGAGAUGUCAUCUCUUCCUGUUCAAGCACAGCAACUUUUGAAGCAGAACACACAGAAUGAAGAAGCUGUGAUUUUUUUUCACCAUCCACUGUGUUCCUGAGAGCAGGCAUGCAGCACACAGGUGAUUAGAUGGAAUGAAGAUGUAGGGAAUGUAACCUUACCAGAAUACCAGGAGAAGUGACAGAAUAUUUUUCUACAACAACAAAAGAAGGAGAAAAAACAUAAUCUGUGAUUUUGUACUUAUAUUCC